UCAAGCGACUAAGUGUAUGUGGUGGAUGCCUUGGCGAUUACAGGCGAAGAAGGACGUCGCAGCCUGCGAAAAGCCGUGGGGAGCUGGCAAGCGAGCACUGAUCCACGGAUGUCCGAAUGAGGGAACUCACCCGCAAGGGUAUCUUGAAGUGAAUACAUAGCUUCAAGAGGCGAACGCAGCGAACUGAAACAUCUAAGUAGCUGCAGGAAAAGAAAUCAACCGAGAUUCUGAAAGUAGCGGCGAGCGAAAUUGGAAGAGCCUGCAAGUGAUAUUGAAUUCGAUACUGGAACGGUCUGGAAAGUCCGGCUACAGAGGGUGACAGCCCCGUACGGGAAAUUGGGUUCAAGGUACUGAGCUUGCGAGAAGUAGAGCGGGACACGUGAAAUCCUGCUCGAAGAUGGGGGGACCAUCCUCCAAGGCUAAAUACUCGUAAUCGACCGAUAGCGAACCAGUACUGUGAAGGAAAGGCGAAAAGAACCCCGGGAGGGGAGUGAAAUAGAUCCUGAAACCGCAUACAUACAAACAGUAGGAGCCCGCAAGGGUGACUGCGUACCUUUUGCAUAAUGGGUCAGCGACUUACGUUCAAUGGCAAGCUUAACCGAGUAGGGGAGGCGCAGCGAAAGCGAGUCCGAACAGGGCGACAUGAGUCGUUGGGCGUAGACCCGAAACCAGAUGAUCUAUCCAUGGCCAGGCUGAAGGUGUGGUAACACACACUGGAGGGCCGAACCGACUAGUGUUGCAAAAUUAGCGGAUGAGCUGUGGAUAGGGGUGAAAGGCUAAACAAAUCUGGAGAUAGCUGGUUCUCCCCGAAAACUAUUGAGGUAGUGCCUCGUGUAUGGCUCCAGGGGGUAGAGCACUGUUAUGGCUAGGGGGACAUGGCGUCUUACCAAACCAUGGCAAACUCCGAAUACUUGGAAGUCUGAGCACGGGAGACAGAGCACCGGGUGCUAACGUCCGGACUCAAAAGGGAAACAACCCAGACCGCCGGCUAAGGUCCCUAAUAUUGACUAAGUGGAAAACGAAGUGGGAAGGCUAAGACAGUCAGGAAGUUGGCUUAGAAGCAGCCAUCCUUCAAAGAAAGCGUAAUAGCUCACUGAUCGAGUCUUCCUGCGCGGAAGAUGUAACGGGGCUAAGUCAAUAACCGAAGCCGCGGAUUCGCAGCAAUGCGAGUGGUAGGGGAGCGUUCUGUAAGCCUGCGAAGGCGGAUCUGCGAGGACCGCUGGAGGUAUCAGAAGUGCGAAUGCUGACAUGAGUAACGUUAAAGCGGGUGAAAAGCCCGCUCGCCGCAAGCCCAAGGUUUCCUGCUCUACGUUCAUCGGAGCAGGGUGAGUCGGCCCCUAAGGUCAGGCUGAGAAGCGUAGCUGAUGGGAAGCUGGUUAAUAUUCCAGCACCGAUUUCAAGUGCGAAGGGGGGACGGAGUCCUGAAGGUCAUCCGGGUGUUGGAUAUCCCGGUUUACGAGCGUAGGAGGUUGACAGGCAAAUCCGUCAACGGAUCUCCAAGGCGAAGGAUCGAGGUUGAGAGAUCAACUGAAGUGACUGAAUGGGCUUCCAGGAAAAGCCUCUAAGCAUCAGCUUGGAAUUGACCGUACCGCAAACCGACACUGGUGGGCGAGCUGAAUAUGCUCAGGCGCUUGAGAGAACUCAGGAGAAGGAACUCGGCAAAUUGACACCGUAACUUCGGGAUAAGGUGUGCCUUUGUAGUGUGAAGGGAGAAACACCCCGAGCAUGAAGAGGCCUCAGAGAAUCGGUGGCUGCAACUGUUUACUAAAAACACAGCACUCUGCAAAGAUGAAAGUCGACGUAUAGGGUGUGAUGCCUGCCCGGUGCUGGAAGAUUAAUUGAUGGGGUGCAAGCUCCUGAUCGAAGUCCCAGUAAACGGCGGCCGUAACUAUAACGGUCCUAAGGUAGCGAAAUUCCUUGUC
rnacentral:rRNA from 1 species